UUAAAUGCCAUAUUUUGAAACAUCAAGGUGUCAACUAAAUAUAAUCUAAUUUUAUUUCUUUCUUUAUACUGAAUCACUUAAACAGGAUCAGGAACAUUUGUCUCAGAAUAUGGGAGUGAUAAGAUUGACUUGUUUCAUUAACGCCAUUGGAGGGGAAGCCCCAAAUUCAAGUAACGGCAACCACUCUUCAAAUCCAAAGCUGCCUCCGCUCCUUUCCGUUUCAAAGUCAUCAUGGGUCGUCAGAACUGAGGCAAGUUAAAUCUCUAUUUGCCUUUUUCUGUCUUUUUAUCUUUAAUUUCUUUUUUCUGGUGCUGACCAAAUUUUUUUAUGUUGGGGCGGGGGGUGUAAUACUUGUUUGAAUAUUUUUUUUAGUUCCAGUAAUUGAAUGGCUUACAUACGGUAAUAAAUUUUAUAGCUGUAUUUAGCAUUAGAAUCUUAAAAUUGUUGGAUGCUCUAAGUUCUAAGAUUCAUUUUCCACUUGAUGGUUGACCUGGAGUUACUCCAAAUUCUGUAUAGUUUAUCCAAUACAUAUCCAACAUGACUUUGUGUAUCAUGAUUUCAUGCAACAAAUUACUUGAAGGAACUCAAUUGGUUGAAAAAUAGAAAAGAAUACAUUAAGUUGUGUACCAAAUAAUGCUUAGGCAUCAUCAACUAUCCUAUGAAAACAUCAAGAAAUCCA
rnacentral:lncRNA from 1 species